rnacentral:rRNA from 1 species
UCAACCUGGUUGAUCCUGCCAGUAGUUAUAUGCUUGUCUCAAAGAUUAAGCCAUGCAUGUCUAAGUAUAAGCAAGCUUAUACUGCGAAACUGCGAAUGGCUCAUUAAAUCAGUUAUAGUUUAUUUGAUGAUUACACUUACUACAUGGAUAACCGUAGUAAUUCUAGAGCUAAUACAUGCGCCAAUUCUCGACUC